rnacentral:piRNA from 1 species
GACUGUUUGAGAAUCCCCAAUGGAGUC